rnacentral:tRNA from 1 species
GAGGGCAUAUCUCAGUGGUAGAGCAUGUGCGUAGCAUGCACAAGCUCCUGGGUUCAAUCCCUAGUACCUCCA